rfam:Streptomyces sp. Root431 contig_3, whole genome shotgun sequence.
CUUCAACGAGCCGAGCCGCAGCGGCUGUUCGCCGUUGCGCUCCUGCCCGUAGGUGGCGAUGAGCGCCUGCGCCUC